rnacentral:misc_RNA from 1 species
UUUGGUAGUAAGAAAAUUUUCAGUUCUCUACAUGGCAUAUAUAUGAUAUAGCUACUUGAAUCAUUACAUUUCUUGAUUAAAGAAUUUGCCUCUCUGCCUUCGCUGAGACCCACUUUGACAUUAAAGAAUCAUUUAUGAUUCUUCAAUGCAUUUUCUUUCAAAAAAUUGAAAGAGGACUUUUCAUUCUUGAAGCCAUAUGCAAAUGAAAGCAUCUCAUCUUGCAUUCUUGAAAGAAAAAGAAAAAGAAAAAA